rnacentral:rRNA from 1 species
UACGUAGGGUGCGAGCGUUAAUCGGAAUUACUGGGCGUAAAGUGUGCGCAGGCGGCCGCGCAAGUCGAGUGUGAAAGCCCCGAGCUUAACUUGGGAACUGCGCUCGAAACUACGUGGCUGGAGUGUGGCAGAGGAAGGUGGAAUUCCAGGUGUAGCGGUGAAAUGCGUAGAGAUCUGGAGGAACACCAAUGGCGAAGGCAGCCUUCUGGGCCAACACUGACGCUCAUGCACGAAAGCGUGGGGAGCAAACAGG